rnacentral:rRNA from 1 species
AUUGAACGCUGGCGGCAUGCCUAACACAUGCAAGUCGAACGGUAACAGGAAGACGCUUGCUUCUUUGCUGACGAGAGGCGUACGUAUUAGAAAUGUCCAUGCAACGUCCUGGUGGAAAGGGAUAAGUACUGGAAACGGUAGCUGCUAACGCCUAGCGGCGCAAGCCCAAGGAGGGGGACCUUCGGGCCUCUUGCCAUCGGCUGUGCCCAGAUGGGAUUAGCUAGUAGGUGGGGUAACGGCUCACCUAGGCCACGAUCCCUAGCUGGUCUGAGAGGAUGACCAGCCACACUGGAACUGAGACACGGUCCAGACUCCUACGGGAGGCAGCAGUGGGGAAUUUUGGACAAUGGGGGCAAGCCUGAUGCAGCCAUGCCGCGUGUAUGAAGAAGGCCUUCGGGUUGUAAAGCACUUUCAGCGGGGACGAAGCGAGUAAAGCUAACACCGUUGCUUAUUGACGUUACCCGAAGAAGAAGCACCGGCUAACUACGUG